UACGUAGGUGGCAAGCGUUGUCCGGAUUUAUUGGGUUUAAAGGGUGCGUAGGCGGCCCUGUAAGUCAGUGCUGAAAUAUUCCGGCUUAACCGGGAGGGUGGCAUUGAUACUGUGAGGCUAGAGUACAGAUGAGGUAGGCGGAAUUGACGGUGUAGCGGUGAAAUGCUUAGAUAUCGUCAAGAACACCUAUAGCGAAGGCAGCUUACUAGGCUGUAACUGACGCUGAGGCACGAAAGUGUGGGGAUCAAACAGG
rnacentral:rRNA from 1 species